GGAGUAUUUUGAAUCUUCUGGGUGACUGUUGCAGUAAGGAAAAGAUCGUCUCCCAUCACUUAGCACUACAAAGAACUCGAAGCCUCCAUUCACGUGCUUCCAAGCUCCGUGUCGAGGUCCAAAUGGCGCUAACUUUAAGCCAAGGAGGGAUUCUCGAGAAGAACGACUCUCCGUUUGAAGCCUUCAACUUUGUUUCUUUUCUCUCAAGAUCUGACCCGUUGCCGCUUAAUCUCCAGGCCUCGAUCAAAAGUUAGUCGAGGUUAGAAGUUGCUUGGAUGUUGGUCAAAUAAAAAACCCAAGCUUGAGCCCUUGAUCUCUCUCUCUCUCUUCGUCAAACCCUAAAAUCCCAUUCUCAUAUGCCAAGUUCUCUGGCAGUCUAGUUCCUAUCGAAUCUAUGCCUUAUCUUCUCCAAGGCUCCACCAAGGGUUCGUAGACAAAAGAAUGUGGCAUCCCUAUCAAAAUCUUGUGAUGGUACUUUUAAUCAGCUUCUGCAGCGUGGUGUUUCCUCAGACUAGCUUUACGAUACCAUUUGCAAGCAGAUAUCACUCGCUCAAUUAAGGAACUAUGAUCUUGUUUAAAACUCAGUCAGGUGCGAGAUAUAACUUAUAUAUGGCAGACAGAUGAGCUUAGACGCCAUAAACCCACACCAGUUGAUGAAGCUAGGGUUUGAACAUUGUGGAGCAGUCCCUUUGGAAAGCUGUACCUCAUUAUUUAUAUCGUGUCAGCAAUAAAGAAGGUUGGUGAGUUUAUGCAGCUUCUAUAAGUCGAAUCAAUACCUAAAAAGGAGUUGUUGGGUGUACCAAUUGUAAGUCAUCCAAAAUCUUUCAAUUAAAAACAUAAGGUUCUGAUUCUUUGCCAUUGCCGUUUGUAUGUCAAAUGCUGGAUCAAUUUCUUUAACGAAGAUCAGGUCAUAAUUUUUGUUCACAUAAUGAAGAACAGAAACAACUACAUGCCCACUAUGUAAUAAAAUAUUAAAUAAGUUAUUUACAAUAGAUUGUGACAGUUUUUCAUUGCAUAGUUUGUCUGGGAUCUAAUAUUGACUAUCAUGCUCUUAUUUUGGAUCAACAACCAAUGGAUUUUGAGUUCCCAAUGGAGUUUCUUGAGGCUGGAAAUGUAUACAAGUAUGCAAAGAACUAUGUUUCUCGGCGAUACGUAAGCUUUUGUUACCACUACUUGACAGAUUACUUGCUUGAUAGUACUUGACAGUUUCGUCAGGAGAUCAUACAUAUAUUAGUCUUAGCUUGUCUAAAUUUUGGAGAAGAGGAGAAUCAGGAGAUCAUUGGUAUCAUGCCAUGGUUUAAGGCUGCCAAGAAUUUUAUUUUCCCAUUAUGUGGUUUGAUAAAAAUUAUUGAUAUUGUAAAUUAUUAUUAUUUUUUAAUUUAUAAUAUUGGUAGUCACC
rnacentral:lncRNA from 1 species